UACGGGGGGGGGCAAGCGUUGUUCGGAAUUACUGGGCGUAAAGGGCUCGUAGGCGGCCAACUAAGUCGGAUGUGAAAUCCCCAAGCUUAACUUGGGAACUGCAUCCGAUACUGGAUGGCUUGAAUCCGGGAGAGGGAUGCAGAAUUCCAGGUGUAGCGGUGAAAAUGCGUAGAUAUCUGGAGGAAUACCGGUGGCGAAGGCGGCAUCCUGGACCGGCAUUGACGCUGAGGAGCGAAAAGCUAGGGGAGCAAACGGG
rnacentral:rRNA from 1 species